UUAACUUAAGUUUAAAACAGUAACUUUUGAAGUUAUAUAAAUUAAUUAAUUUUAAUAAGUUAAC
rnacentral:tRNA from 1 species